CCCUUAGAUGUUCUGGGCAGCACGCGCGCUACAAUGGUCUUCGCAAACGGAUGCAUUCUCGAAGGAGAAUGCCAAUCUUGGAAUCUAUGCCUUGGUCGGGACAGUUGCUUGCAAUUUUUCGACUCGAACCAGGAAUUCCUUGUAAUCGUGAUUCAUCACAUCACGAUGAAUACGUCCCUGCCCUUUGUACACACCGCCCGUCGCUCCUACCGAUCGAAGAGUUAGGUGAAUUGUUUUGAUCGAUAAGAUUUGACUAUGGUCAACUCUCGUUGUGAAAUUCUGUGAAGCUGACUGUUUAGAGGAAGUAAAAGUCGUAACA
rnacentral:rRNA from 1 species